rnacentral:RNase_P_RNA from 1 species
CUGGCUGAAAGUUGACUUUAGGAAUUACUUACCAGUAUUUAUUACUGUUCUUAUUCCUGGGAAGGUCUGAGAUAAAGCUCCUGAUUUUAUUUAAAUCAGCAUCCUCUAGGAGGGGAUUUCUCGUAAUGAGAUUGGUUCCGUACCUGAAGAUAUCCUAACAGUUGCCACUAACAAGAAGUUUCUUUACAGAAAUGGAUUUAUGGCUUCUGUUAGUUUGGAAUCCGGCGCCGAUGCUAGCUAGUUUAAGUUCGAUAGUCAAUGGGAACAUUUAUAUGUUCAAAACUCAAUUCAGACUACUCUUCGACCAG